rnacentral:sRNA from 1 species
AGCAACAGGGAUAUCAUCACCACGCUGGUAUCCUCACAUGUGUGGGUUUUGCUGAGCUAGUAGAAAAUGAUCCAAAGAGGAUUGGUGACCAAAUGUCUGAUUGCAACAUUUCGUUUUCCUCUGUGGUACAUAGCUCCAGGCUGCCAGUCUCCUAUUUGUGGAUAAUCCCGUGGGCACUGGGUUCAGUUAUGUGAAUGGUAGUGGUGCCUAUGCCAAGGACCUGGCUAUGGUGGCUUCAGACAUGAUGGUUCUCCUGAAGACCUUCUUCAAUUGCCACAAAGAAUUCCAGACAGUUCCAUUCUACAUUUUCUCAGAGUCCUAUGGAGGAAAAAUGGCAGCUGGCAUUGGUCUAGAGCUUUAUAAGGCCAUUCAGCGAGGGACCAUCAAGUGCAACUUUGCGGGGGUUGCCUUGGGUGAUUCCUGGAUCUCCCCUGUUGAUUCGGUGCUCUCCUGGGGACCUUACCUAUACAGCAUGUCUCUUCUCGAAGACAAAGGUCUGGCAGAGGUGUCUAAGGUUGCAGAGCAAGUACUGAAUGCCGUAAAUAAGGGGCUCUACAGAGAGGCCACAGAGCUGUGGGGGAAAGCAGAAAUGAUCAUUGAACAGAACACAGAUGGGGUGAACUUCUAUAACAUCUUAACUAAAAGCACUCCCACGUCUACAAUGGAGUCGAGUCUAGAAUUCACACAGAGCCACCUAGGUGAGUGAACCUUGAAGUUAUUAAAGUCCCUGCCUCAGCCUCCAUGCAAAAAGAAACCUGUUUAUAAAAAAAAAAAAAAA